rnacentral:rRNA from 1 species
GAAACGACUGCUAAGACUGGAUAGGAGAUAAGAAGGCAUCUUCUUAUUUUUGAAAGACCUAGCAAUAGGUAUGCUUAGGGAAGAGCUUGCGUCACAUUAGUUAGUUGGUGGGGUAAUGGCCUACCAAGACGAUGAUGUGUAGCCGGGCUGAGAGGUCGAACGGCCACAUUGGGACUGAGACACGGCCCAAACUCCUACGGGAGGCAGCAGUAAGGAAUUUUCGGCAAUGGAGGAAACUCUGACCGAGCAAUGCCGCGUGAACGAUGAAGUAUUUCGGUACGUAAAGUUCUUUUAUUAGGGAAGAAAAGAUGGUGGAAAAACCAUUAUGACGGUACCUAAUGAAUAAGCCCCGGCUAACUAUGUGCCAGCAGCCGCGGUAAUACAUAGGGGGCAAGCGUUAUCCGGAAUUAUUGGGCGUAAAGGGUGCGUAGGCGGUUAAAUAAGUUUAUGGUCUAAGUGCAACGCUCAACGUUGUGAUGCUAUAAAAACUGUUUAGCUAGAGUUGGAUAGAGGCAAGUGGAAUUCCGUGUGUAGUGGUAAAAUGCGUAAAUAUACGGAGGAACACCAGAAGCGAAGGCGGCUCGCUGGGUCUUAACUGACGCUGAGGCACGAAAGCGUGGGGAGCAAACAGGAUUAGAUACCCUGGUAGUCCACGCCCUAAACGAUGAGUACUAAACGUUGGAUAAAACCAGUGUUGAAGUUAACACAUUAAGUACUCCGCCUGAGUAGUACGUACGCAAGUAUGAAACUUAAAGGAAUUGACGGGACUCCGCACAAGCGGUGGAUCAUGUUGUUUAAUUCGAAGGUACCCGAAAAACCUCACCAGGUCUUGACAUGCUUUUGCAAAGCUGUAGAAAUACAGUGGAGGUUAUCAGAAGCACAGGUGGUGCAUGGUUGUCGUCAGCUCGUGUCGUGAGAUGCUGGGUUAAGUCCCGCAACGAGCGCAACCCUUGUUGUUAAUUGCCAUCAUUAAGUUGGGGACUUUAGCAAGACUGCCAAUGAUAAAUUGGAGGAAGGUGGGGACGACGUCAAAUCAUCAUGCCCCUUAUGACCUGGGCUACAAACGUGAUACAAUGGCUGUUACAAAGGGUAGCUAAAGCGUAAGCUUCUGGCGAAUCUCAAAAAAGCAGUCUCAGUUCGGAUUGAAGUCUGCAACUCGACUUCAUGAAGUUGGAAUCGCUAGUAAUCGCGAAUCAGCAUGUCGCGGUGAAUACGUUCUCGGGGUUUGUACACACCGCCCGUCA